rnacentral:rRNA from 1 species
AGCUACAGGCUUAACACAUGCAAGUCGAGGGGCAGCAUGGUCUUAGCUUGCUAAGGCCGAUGGCGACCGGCGCACGGGUGAGUAACACGUAUCCAACCUGCCGUCUACUCUUGGACAGCCUUCUGAAAGGAAGACUAAUGCAAGAUGGCAUCAUGAGUCCGCAUGUUCACAUGAUUAAAGGUAUUCCGGUAGACGAUGGGGAUGCGUUCCAUUAGAUAGUAGGCGGGGUAACGGCCCACCUAGUCUUCGAUGGAUAGGGGUUCUGAGAGGAAGGUCCCCCACAUUGGAACUGAGACACGGUCCAAACUCCUACGGGAGGCAGCAGUGAGGAAUAUUGGUCAAUGGGCGAGAGCCUGAACCAGCCAAGUAGCGUGAAGGAUGACUGCCCUAUGGGUUGUAAACUUCUUUUAUAAAGGAAUAAAGUCGGGUAUGCAUACCCGUUUGCAUGUACUUUAUGAAUAAGGAUCGGCUAACUCCGUGCCAGCAGCCGCGGUAAUACGGAGGAUCCGAGCGUUAUCCGGAUUUAUUGGGUUUAAAGGGAGCGUAGAUGGAUGUUUAAGUCAGUUGUGAAAGUUUGCGGCUCAACCGUAAAAUUGCAGUUGAUACUGGAUAUCUUGAGUGCAGUUGAGGCAGGCGGAAUUCGUGGUGUAGCGGUGAAAUGCUUAGAUAUCACGAAGAACUCCGAUUGCGAAGGCAGCCUGCUAAGCUGCAACUGACAUUGAGGCUCGAAAGUGUGGGUAUCAAACAGGAUUAGAUACCCUGGUAGUCCACACGGUAAACGAUGAAUACUCGCUGUUUGCGAUAUACGGCAAGCGGCCAAGCGAAAGCGUUAAGUAUUCCACCUGGGGAGUACGCCGGCAACGGUGAAACUCAAAGGAAUUGACGGGGGCCCGCACAAGCGGAGGAACAUGUGGUUUAAUUCGAUGAUACGCGAGGAACCUUACCCAGGCUUAAAUUGCAGAUGAAUUACGGUGAAAGCCGUAAGCCGCAAGGCAUCUGUGAAGGUGCUGCAUGGUUGUCGUCAGCUCGUGCCGUGAGGUGUCGGCUUAAGUGCCAUAACGAGCGCAACCCUUGUUGUCAGUUACUAACAGGUUCUGCUGAGGACUCUGACAAGACUGCCAUCGUAAGAUGUGAGGAAGGUGGGGAUGACGUCAAAUCAGCACGGCCCUUACGUCCGGGGCUACACACGUGUUACAAUGGGGGGUACAGAGGGCCGCUACCACGCGAGUGGAUGCCAAUCCCCAAAACCUCUCUCAGUUCGGACUGGAGUCUGCAACCCGACUCCACGAAGCUGGAUUCGCUAGUAAUCGCGCAUCAGCCACGGCGCGGUGAAUACGUUCCCGGGCCUUGUACACACCGCCCGUCAAGCCAUGGGAGCCGGGGGUACCUGAAGUGCGUAACCGCGAGGAGCGCCCUAGGGUAAAACUGGUGACUGGGGCU